rnacentral:misc_RNA from 1 species
GAUGAAGAACGUAGCGAAAUGCGAUAAGUAAUGUGAAUUGCAGAAUUCAGUGAAUCAUCGAAUCUUUGAACGCACAUUGCGCCCGCCAGCAUUCUGGCGGGCAUGCCUGUUCGAGCGUCAUUUCAACCCUCAAGCUCUGCUUGGUGUUGGGGCCCUACGGUUGACGUAGGCCCCUAAAGGUAGUGGCGGACCCUCUCGGAGCCUCCUUUGCGUAGUAACUAACGUCUCGCAUUGGGAUUCGGAGGGACUCUUGCCGUAAAACCCCCAAAUUUUCUAAUGGUUGACCUCGGAUCAGGUAGGAAUACCCGCUGAACUUAAGCAUAUCAAUAAGCGGAGGA